rnacentral:misc_RNA from 1 species
UUGAUGAAGAUGCUGAUGGAUAUAAGCCAACAGAAAUAUACCUUACUCUAUCACCUAUUUUAAACAAAAGAUUCCUAGAUGUCCCAGAAGAGGAGGGAACCACAUCAGCAUCCAUCUUUGGUUGAGAUUCCUGACCAGAGGAAGAAAGUGCAUUUGAAGAGCUGGGUGCAUCUGCUUCAAUGCCUGAUGGAUUCGCACUUUUUGAUAAGUCUGUGUCUAUAGGACUUUGUUUGGCACUAGUGCAGGAUUUUUCUGCAUUAAAUCCAUCCUUCAAGAACUCAGCUUCCUUUGAAGACAAACCACCCAAAAAAGAAUGGCUAUCAAAUAUGAGUAACUUAGCACCAAAGUAGUUAGCAAGGGCCUUUGCCAACAUCUCCUGAUAUAUCUCAGAACCUGCUGGACCGGAAAGCAAAAUCCGUGGAUUAACAGUGGUAAGUUCUGCAGUAUACUUAACAUGUUCUUUGUGCCUCAGGUGUAUAAAUGAAGCUGCAAUCAGUACAUUUUUUGUGUUCUCACUUAAAUAGUAAGGAAAAUUAUCAAAUGAAACUUCCAUAUUUUUGCCAUCAAGAAUUCCAGCACAAAUGUCUUCUUUGAGUACAGCACAACGCAAUGACAUACCAGAGGUUGAUGCCAGCUGUGAAUCCCUUGUCCACUCGUUCCUUUCUUCCAAUACCUGUUUACAGAUACUUUUGCUCAAUUUUUGUUUACAACUAGUUGAUCGAGCUAACAUCCUGAAGAAAGGCCUUAUCAAAUC